UUUCGGGAGCCGUGAGACAGGUGCUGCAUGGCUGUCGUCAGCUCGUGUCGUGAGAUGUUCGGUUAAGUCCGCUAACGAGCGCAACCCUCGCUGUGUGUUAUAUGUGUCACACGGGACUGCCGGUCUUAAGCCGGAGGAGUGGGGAUGAUGUCAAGUCAGCAUGGCCUUUAUAUCCUGGGCUACACACACGCUACAAUGGCCAACACAAUAGGCUGCUAAGCCGCGAGGUGGCGCCAAUCCAUAAAGUUGGUCUCAGUUCAGAUUGUAGGCUGCAACCCGCCUGCAUGAAGAUGGAGUUGCUAGUAACCGCAGGUCAGCUGUACUGCGGUGAAUACGUUCCCGGGGCUU
rnacentral:rRNA from 1 species